UCACGUACGGUGCGUAGUCGCGGGUAUGACGCGGGGGUCAAGCGUUAAUCGUAAUUACGGUGCGGGAAGCGUGCGCAGGGGGGUGUGCAAGACAGAUGUGAAAGCCCCGGGCUUAACCUGGGAAUGUCAUUUGUGACUGCACGGCUAGAGUGUGUCAGAGGGGGGUAGAAUUCCACGUGUAGCAGUGAAAUGCGUAGAUAUGUGGAGGAAUACCGAUGGCGAAGGCAGCCCCCUGGGAUAACACUGACGCUCAUGCACGAAAGCGUGGGGAGCAAACAGGAUUAGAUACCCCAGUAGUC
rnacentral:rRNA from 1 species